CAGUAGCCACGGUAAUACGAAGGGGGCUAGCGUUGCUCGGAAUUACUGGGCGUAAAGGGAGCGUAGGCGGAUGUUUAAGUCAGAGGUGAAAGCCCAGGGCUCAACCUUGGAACUGCCUUUGAUACUGGACAUCUUGAGUGUGGGAGAGGUAAGCGGAACUCCGAGUGUAGAGGUGAAAUUCGUAGAUAUUCGGAAGAACACCAGUGGCGAAGGCGGCUUACUGGCCCAUUACUGACGCUGAGGCUCGAAAGCGUGGGGAGCAAACAGGAUUAGAUACCCGUGUAGUCCCUGUCUCUUAUAC
rnacentral:rRNA from 1 species